rnacentral:rRNA from 1 species
UAGAACCUGUAAUUCAUCGUCGAAACGCGGUAUUCGGUGAGAUUCGAGGAACCCCCGUGCGAAGGCACUCGGUCUGUACUGCACUUAGGCCGAAACGUGGGGCCAACCGGUUGGUCCUGGUAUGUCCACCCCGUUAAACGAGAGUGCUAAGGGUUAGAGGGUUUCCCGCCCUUUAGUGCUGAGGUUAACGCCAUAAAGCCCUCUCCCCUGGGGAGGUACGGCCGCCAAGGCCUGAAACUCCAAAGGAAUUGACGGGGGCCCGCACCAAGCGGGUGGAGGCAUGUUGGUUUAAUUCGAAGCAACGCGAAGAACCUUAACAGGUCUUGACAUCCUCUGACAACCCUAGAGAUAGGGCUUCUCAUUCGGGAGCAGAGUGACAGGUGGUGCAUGGUUGUCGUCAGCUCGUGUCGUGAGAUGUUGGGUUAAGUCCCGCAACGAGCGCAACCCUUGAUCUUAGUUGCCAUCAUUAAGUUGGGCACUCUAAGGUGACUGCCGGUGACAAACCGGAGGAAGGUGGGGAUGACGUCAAAUCAUCAUGCCCCUUAUGACCUGGGCUACACACGUGCUACAAUGGACGGUACAAAGAGCUGCAAGACCGCGAGGUGGAGCUAAUCUCAUAAAACCGUUCUCAGUUCGGAUUGUAGGCUGCAACUCGCCUACAUGAAGCUGGAAUCGCUAGUAAUCGCGGAUCAGCAUGCCGCGGUGAAUACGUUCCCGGGCCUUGUACACACCGCCCGUCACACCACGAGAGUUUGUAACACCCGAAGUCGGUGGGGUAACCUUUGGAGCCAGCCGCUA